GUGAGAGUACCAGUGAGUUCUGACUGUAAAUCAGACGCGAAAGCUUCGGGGGUUCGAAUCCCUCACCUGGCACCA
rnacentral:tRNA from 1 species